UACGUAGGGCGCAAGCGUUAUCCGGAAUUAUUGGGCGUAAAGAGCUCGUAGGCGGUUUGUCGCGUCUGCCGUGAAAGUCCGGGGCUCAACUCCGGAUCUGAGGUGGGUACGGGCAGACUAGAGUGAUGUAGGGGAGACUGGAAUUCCUGGUGUAGCGGUGAAAUGCGCAGAUAUCAGGAGGAACACCGAUGGCGAAGGCAGGUCUCUGGGCAUUAACUGACGCUCAUGCACGAAAGCGUGGGGAGCAAACAGG
rnacentral:rRNA from 1 species